GCAGAAUGAGCCUCCUGUCACCAGCCCAGAGCUCUCAGACAGAAUUGAGUUCCUGUACAGUAGGACUUUCCACUCAUGUCUGUGGUCUAGGAGGAGAUUGGGUUGGGCAAACACCAGGCACGAUGGAGCAACCAUUAACCCUGGAGUUGUGAAGACAGGACCACAAGCUGAGAGAGGGCAGCAAUGGAAACCCAGCCAAACUAUUAAUGGAAGGCUGGGUCCCAUUCUUUAUUAUCCUUCUGUGGUCUCGUCACCAGCAGGGUGAGCCAAAGCCGAGGGCAAGAACACGCUGGGUGACCUUCCACACCCCAAAUGCAAGAUCAAGUGCUGUGGAGAAGGAGGCCCAUGGAAGAACUCGCUAGUGGAAACUGUCAACAUUGACUAGCUAUCAUGAGCCAGGACUGAUGGGAUGACGUGAGCAGAGGACACCAUUAUUUUGUGCUUCAUCAAAGUUGCAAGCUUAAUAAGUGACAAAGUGGGGUCCAAAACCCAAUUGCAGCUAGCCUUUUUAUUUAUACUGCUUCUCGGGUGAAGAGUCACUGACUGGUAAUCUCUGGAAAAACAAACAAGCCCCAUUUUACAGAUGAGGAAACAGAUCCCAGGAAGGCUAGGCACCAGGCCCAGGGCCUCAUCUGCUACAGGUUGGCCCCGGGUACAAGCCCAGGCAGUUGGACUCUCGUGUUUUCACCUCACUUCUAGUCAAUUCCACCUGUUUGAUUCACUCAUCGUUUACCAUUGGCCCCCUGUGGCCCCCUGGAGGCAGGAAGUCUCUUUUUGACCAUCUUCCAUGUUCAAAGUCCUACUGGGAAGAGCAAGCCUUUUAUUUGUUGCCUGUGAAGGUCUUGACUGGACUUUAUGGUCAUUUCUGGAUGAUGGUGUGGAGUGGCUUCGGAGGCAGCAGAACUGCAACUUGAUCCCAGACCUUCUGCCACCAAGUCUUGGCAUUUUCUUCAGAGCAUUGGUGUCUGGAAGCUCAGAGAAUCCCUGUGUGAAUGCAGCCGUCCUGGUCACAGGGCAAUAGAGAUGAGCUCCCUCCCUCUCAGCAAAAGUUUCCAAGUGUCACCUUAAGUAAGGCCCCUCCAAUGCUGCUGGCAGGACUGUGAACUGGUACUAUUUUUCCUGAGGACAACUGGGUAACACAUAUCAAAC
rnacentral:lncRNA from 10 species